CUAGGCCGAGGGCACGCCUGCCUGGGCGUCACAC
rnacentral:rRNA from 1 species